CCCUAGACAAUUUGGAAGACGAGGAACGAUGUUGUGUUCAAUGGAGUUUCCCCUAGAAUUUCCCAAGCUAUCACACUUGCACUGGAAGAAACUGAGCUCUGGCAGUUAGCAGGGGCAAAGGGCUCAAGCAGGUUGGUCGCAGUUAGACCUGCUGGGCAGCAGGUUUAAGGUGUAGGUGUCAAGAUCGUUUUUAUUUGGUUACACGGGUGCGCUUGUAAGCUAAGUGUGUGUCGGAGUGUGUGUGGGGUUUUGUAUGGCUAUUUUGGCCUUUCUCCUUCUCUCUUAAUGCAAUGAUACACAACUCUCCUGCUUAUUCGAGA